ACAGCAGUCGCCGCGGGAAUACGAAGGGUGCAAGCGUUAAUCGGAAUUACUGGGCGUAAAGCGUGCGUAGGCGGUGAGUUAAGUCUGCUGUGAAAUCCCCGGGCUCAACCUGGGAAUGGCAGUGGAUACUGGCUCGCUAGAGUGUGUCAGAGGAUGGUGGAAUUCCCGGUGUAGCGGUGAAAUGCGUAGAGAUCGGGAGGAACAUCAGUGGCGAAGGCGGCCAUCUGGGACAACACUGACGCUGAGGCACGAAAGCGUGGGGAGCAAACAGGAUUAGAUACCCCGGUAGUCCCUGUCUCUUAUAC
rnacentral:rRNA from 1 species